rnacentral:ncRNA from 2 species
AAUUGAAUAUCGGAUACAGGUCAUGGAAGUUGGGUGUGAAUCCCACGCAAGGCCGUUGCUGUAAUUCGCCAAUGCAUUUGGCAUAAGUCACUGGAAGAGAUUCCGGGAAGGCGCCAAGGGCUGCGUUUUUGAAGGGAACGCGGGCGAUAAGUCAGAAUACUUGCCUGUUUCCUACUGCGCUU